AUACGGAGGGUGCAAGCGUUGUUCGGAAUUACUGGGCGUAAAGCGCGCGUAGGCGGUCUGUUAUGUCAGAUGUGAAAGUCCUCGGCUCAACCGGGGAAGUGCAUUUGAAACUGGCAGACUUGAGUACUGGAGGGGGUGGUGGAAUUCCCGGUGUAGAGGUGAAAUUCGUAGAUAUCGGGAGGAAUACCGGUGGCGAAGGCGACCACCUGGCCAGAUACUGACACUGAGGUGCGAAAGCGUGGGGAGCGAACAGGAUUAGAUACCCCGGUAGUCC
rnacentral:rRNA from 1 species